GCCAGUGGUGAUAGCGCGUUGAAUCCACCUAUUCCCAAUGGUUCAUUAAAGUUAAGCAAUGUUGCACUUGGUUGGUAUCCGUAUGGGUGACCAUUUGGGCAAUUGCGUGCUGCUGACC
rnacentral:rRNA from 1 species